rnacentral:rRNA from 1 species
ACUCUCGGCAACGGAUAUCUUGGCUCUCGCAUCGAUGAAGAACGUAGCAAAAUGCGAUAGCUGGUGUGAAUUGCAGAAUCCCGCGAACCAUCGAGUUUUUGAACGCAAGUUGCGCCUGAAGCCGUCAGGCUAAGGGCACGCCUGCCUGGGUGUC